UGAUGGUAGUGAUGAUGGUGGUAAUGAUGGUGAUGAUGGUAGUUAUGGUGAUGAUACACUAUCAUCAUCGCCAUCACCAUAACUACCAUCAUCA